UACGUAGGUGACCAGCGUUGUCCGGAUUUACUGGGCGUAAAGAGCGCGCAGGCGGUCGUUCAAGUCGAGUGUGAAAGCCCCCGGCUCAACUGGGGAGGGUCACUUGAUACUGAUCGACUCGAAGGCAGGAGAGGGAAGCGGAAUUCCCGGUGUAGUGGUGAAAUGCGUAGAUAUCGGGAGGAACACCAGUGGCGAAGGCGGCUUCCUGGCCUGUUCUUGACGCUGAGGCGCGAAAGCUAGGGGAGCGAACAGG
rnacentral:rRNA from 1 species